rnacentral:rRNA from 1 species
UGCGUAGGCGGAAUUUUAAGUCAGUGGUGAAAUCCUGCAGCUUAACUGUAGAACUGCCAUUGAUACUGAUAUUCUUGAAUUUAGUUGAGGUGGGCGGACGUGUAAUGUAGCGGUGAAAUGCUUAGAUAUUACACAGAACACCGAUUGCGAAGGCAGCUCACUAAACUAACAUUGACGCUGAGGCACGAAAGCGUGGGUAGCGAACAGGAUUAGAUACCCUGGUAGUCC